CGGGCCGCGGUCCUCCGCGGCCGCCCUCCGUCCGGGGGGUGGCCAGCGCCCGCCAGAGGACCAUCGAACUCCGGUCAGUGAACGUUGCCGUCUGAAAAACAAUCAAUAAACUAAAACUUUCAACAACGGAUCUCUUGGUUCUGGCAUCGAUGAAGAACGCAGCGAAAUGCGAUAAGUAAUGUGAAUUGCAGAAUUCAGUGAAUCAUCGAAUCUUUGAACGCACAUUGCGCCCCUCGGUAUUCCGAGGGGCAUGCCUGUUCGAGCGUCAUUACAACCCUCAAGCUCUGCUUGGUGUUGGGCACCGCCCUUCCGCGGGCGCGCCUCAAAGACCUCGGCGGUGGCGUCUUGCCUCGAGCGUAGUAGAAAACACCUCGCUUUGGAGCGCACGGCGCCGCCCGCCGGACGAACCUUUUGAACUUUCUCAAGGUUGACCUCGGAUCAGGUAGG
rnacentral:rRNA from 1 species